UCAAGCAAGCACGCGGUCGAUCUGCGGCGCCCUUCUGCUGCAAGUGCGCGCGACGGUGGAACUUAACCGCGCGUAAACAAACAACAACAAAUCUAUUCCGUGGCCCGUGCUUAAGGUCACGACGAGGUUUUGGAGAUACCCAUGAUCUUCCCGACAGCUUGGUACCGGAGAUAAAGGACCGGUCGGUGUUAAUUAUUGUCCGUGAUAGAAUAUAUACAAAAAAGGCGAGCCGAGAAAGCCGUUGUGUGUGAUGUGAAUAAAGAGCCGCAAAGUUUGCUCCUCGCAAAGAAAAAAAGAAAUACAAAGUAAUCGAAAAAAAAACAAGCGGUGAGAGUUGAAAUUGAACGGUGUGGAGGAAAUUGUGCGUACGAGUGGUUGUUGGCUGGUGCGAGCAAUCCCAUUCCGGUAGCGCAUUCCAGCUGAACAUUAAACAUCCUCCGGCGAUGCAGCUCGGCCGCAGCAUCAUUUGAAGCGCAUGCAGCACGAGGCGAGGAAAUCUCAUCAACUCACAACCCACAGCCAUACACACACACACCGCAACAUCAUCCUAAACGGGUGCUAACAACGACGGAGUGAUCAUCACGGUGAAAAGUACCUGAUUGAACGAGAGAGUGUGCAAGCGAAAGAAAGUCUUUUACCCGUCGUUACUGCAGUCUCUACUCCAUCUGCUCCCUUCAAAGCCUAUCAAACGCAGUGAGCUUUAAGUGAAACAAGUGCUUUAGAACACCAAAAACAACCCCCACCAGAGUGAAUAGUGCGUUUCGUGCGUUUCGGUAGAUAGAAUGCCUUGAGUCGCCCGACUCGCAAAGUGCAACUCGCCAGUGGUUUUCCCAUUUUGUACACCCACGUGUUAUCGCACCCCUCCUUCCCCUCUUCCCCGACUCCUCGCAGGUCAGGUGCGCGGAAGUGAUUCAGAAGCGACCGCGCCCCAUCACGGUGAGAUAGAUGCGAAAGCAAGUGCCGAACCAACCGAACAG